UACGAAGGGGACUAGCGUUGUUCGGAAUCACUGGGCGUAAAGCGCACGUAGGCGGAUAUGUCAGUCAGGGGUGAAAUCCCGGGGCUCAACCUCGGAACUGCCUUUGAUACAGCAUAUCUUGAGUCCGAUAGAGGUGGGUGGAAUUCCUAGUGUAGAGGUGAAAUUCGUAGAUAUUAGGAAGAACACCGGUGGCGAAGGCGGCCCACUGGAUCGGUACUGACGCUGAGGUGCGAAAGCGUGGGGAGCAAAC
rnacentral:rRNA from 1 species